CAUCGGUUAUUAACAGACACUGGGGUCCUAUUACACAUUCUACUAUACUCUAUUCUACUCUACUGUACUGUAUUCUACUCUAUUAUAUUAUACUCUACCGUACUCUAUUCUACUAUACUUUACUGUACUCUAUUCUAUUUUACUUUACUGUACUCUAUUCUACUUUACUGUACUGUACUCUAUUCUACUCUAUUCUAUUCUACUCUACUGUACUCUAUUCUAUUUUACUUUACUGUACUCUAUUCUACUUUACUGUACUGUACUCUAUUCUACUCUAUUCUAUUCUACUCUACUGUACUCUAUUCUAUUAUUCUUUACUGUACUCUAUCCUGCUCUACUGUACUCUAUUCUACUCUACUGUACUCUAUUUUACUUUACUGUACUCUAUUCUGCUCUACUGUUCUCUAUUCUACUCUAUUUUACUUUACUGUACACUACUCUACUCUAUUCUACUCUAUUCUGCUCUACCGUACUCUACUAUUCUACUCUAUUCUGCUCUACCGUACUCUACUAUUCUACUCUAUUCUGCUCUACCGUACUCUACUAUUCUGCUCUACCGUACUCUACUAUUCUACUCUAUUCUGCUCUAUUCUGCUCUACCGUACUCUACUAUUCUGCUCUACCGUACUCUACUAUUCUGCUCUAACGUACUCUACUAUUCUACUCUAUUCUGCUCUACCGUACUCUACUAUUCUGCUCUACCGUACUCUACUAUUCUGCUCUACCGUACUCUACUAUUCUACUCUAUUCUGCUCUACCGUACUCUACUAUUCUACUAUAUUCUGCUCUACCGUACUCUACUAUUCUACUCUAUUCUGCUCUACCGUACUCUACUAUUCUACUCUAUUCUGCUCUACCGUACUCUACUAUUCUACUCUAUUCUGCUCUACCGUACUCUACUAUUCUGCUCUACCGUACUCUACUAUUCUACUCUAUUCUACUCUAUUCUACUUUACUGUACUCUAUUCUACUAUACUCUAUUCUACUCUACUGUACUGUAUUCUACUCUAUUAUAUUAUACUCUGCCGUACUCUAUUCUACUAUACUUUACUGUGCUCUACCCUGCUCUACUGUACUCUAUUAUAUUCUACUCUACUGUACUCUAUUCUAUUUUACUUUACUGUACUCUAUUCUACUUUACUGUACUGUACUCUAUUCUACUCUAUUCUAUUCUACUCUACUGUACUCUAUUCUAUUAUUCUUUACUGUACUCUAUCCUGCUCUACUGUACUCUAUUCUACUCUACUGUACUCUAUUUUACUUUACUGUACUCUAUUCUACUCUACUGUUCUCUAUUCUACUCUAUUUUACUUUACUGUACACUACUCUACUCUAUUCUACUCUAUUCUGCUCUACCGUACUCUACUAUUCUACUCUAUUCUGCUCUACCGUACUCUACUAUUCUGCUCUACCGUACUCUACUAUUCUGCUCUACCGUACUCUAAUAUUCUACUCUAUUCUGCUCUAUUCUGCUCUACCGUACUCUACUAUUCUGCUCUACCGUACUCUACUAUUCUACUCUAUUCUGCUCUACCGUACUCUACUAUUCUGCUCUACCGUACUCUACUAUUCUGCUCUACCGUACUCUACUAUUCUACUCUAUUCUGCUCUACCGUACUCUACUAUUCUGCUCUACCGUACUCUACUAUUCUGCUCUACCGUACUCUACUAUUCUACUAUAUUCUGCUCUACCGUACUCUACUAUUCUGCUCUACCGUACUCUACUAUUCUACUCUAUUAUGCUCUACCGUACUCUACUAUUCUACUCUAUUCUGCUCUACCGUACUCUACUAUUCUACUAUAUUCUAA
rnacentral:lncRNA from 1 species